UUACGGUCAUAUAGCGUUGAGACACCUGUUCCCGUACUAUCACCGAAGUUAAGCAACUUCGAGCAUGGUCAGUACCUAGAUGAAUGACUGCUUGGGAAUACGAGGUGUUGUAAG